GUCAGCAUUUGGGAGACUCCCGAAGAGACAGAGAUAACCCCUUACCUCUAAAUUUAUGCAUUUAACACACUUGUGGUGGGUCACUUGAAACUUCUUGCUGCUUAUUCCUGGAUCCUGAUUACUCUGGCAGAAAAAAACCCCUAAAAAAAUCUUCAGCCUUGUGCGUAACUCACUGGACGUGAAGCACUUACUGGAAGGACUUGCAUGCUGGUGAUAUCCUUCCUGAGAGAAAGGAAGACAGAAGAGAAGCCAGUCCCACCUGCAGCCCAUCAGCUCCCAGCACAGCUGUUGGGAUAAGAGGGGUAAAGAGUGGAAGUCCCCGGUGAGAUGCGGAAGAUGAGACCCUUGGGAACAUCACAGUGGCCUGGCUUCAAAACUGGUGGUGCACCACAAGCCCUGGAAUUGUUUCACACCUCUGGCACGGAGUUUGCUCCCACAAAGCAGGAGAAUAAUCACAGAAUGAUGUGGGUUGGAAGGGACCUUAAAGGUCCUCCAGUUCCAGCCUCCCUGCCAUGGGCAGAGACUGAGUGGUCGUAGUGCCCUGUGGCUCCUGAGAAGUAAUCUCAGAAAUAUUUUCCUCAGAAAUCAUCUGAGAAAUUGUUUUGGAUCAGCCAGGACUGUGCUUUAAUUAGGCACAGUAGUAUUGUUUGAAAAACCUGGCAACACAAUGGCCAUGGCUGAUAUUAAGAGAACCUGAAAAAUUACGAGAAAGGCCAUCAUACAUGGCUUUUUUUCAUAGUUCUUUAUGCAAUCCAGUGCCUUCAGAGAGUAGCUGUGCUGUUUGUUUAUUAUUGUCAUUAGCUUUUAUUAGAUUCAAUGCAACUUACCUCAGA